rnacentral:rRNA from 1 species
GAUGAACGCUGGCGGCGUGCUUAACACAUGCAAGUCGAACGGUGAAGGCGGAGCUUGCUCUGCUGGAUCAGUGGCGAACGGGUGAGUAACACGUGAGCAAUCUGCCCCUGACUCUGGGAUAAGCGCUGGAAACGGCGUCUAAUACUGGAUACGAGCUGCGAAGGCAUCUUCAGCAGCUGGAAAGAAUUUCGGUCAGGGAUGAGCUCGCGGCCUAUCAGCUUGUUGGUGAGGUAAUGGCUCACCAAGGCGUCGACGGGUAGCCGGCCUGAGAGGGUGACCGGCCACACUGGGACUGAGACACGGCCCAGACUCCUACGGGAGGCAGCAGUGAGGAAUAUUGCACAAUGGGCGAAAGCCUGAUGCAGCAACGCCGCGUGAGGGACGACGGCCUUCGGGUUGUAAACCUCUUUUAGCAGGGAAGAAGCGAAAGUGACGGUACCUGCAGAAAAAGCGCCGGCUAACUAUGUG